ACUUUGUGCGUGCGGCGUAUGUGUGCGGGUUGCGUGAUGUGUUUGCUGCGUUUUCUAUGCCCUUUGCCUCGCUGUGACAUCUUUGGUAUAUUCCAACUUGUUGCUCGCUCUUUAUGGGCUACACGUUGCCUCGAAGAUCACCAUGAUCGCCUCCGACUCAGCCACAUCGAAGAAUCAAAAUGAGCCUGGAGACGCCACGGCCAGAAUGCGAAAGGUUGGAGAAGUGCUCAUUCAGAUGAUCCUGGCACAGCUUGCCAUGGUGGACCAGGCAAGUUUGCAAGGGCCUUGAUUCAGCAUGUGUUCACAAAGAAGAACCUCAUGGGCCACUCACUUCUCGGAAACAACACCACCAAUAG